rnacentral:rRNA from 1 species
UACGUAGGGUCCGAGCGUUGUCCGGAAUUAUUGGGCGUAAAGAGCUCGUAGGCGGUCCGUCACGUCGGCUGUGAAAACACGGGGCUCAACUCCGUGCCUGCAGUCGAUACGGGCAGACUAGAGUUCGGUAGGGGAGACUGGAAUUCCUGGUGUAGCGGUGAAAUGCGCAGAUAUCAGGAGGAACACCGGUGGCGAAGGCGGGUCUCUGGGCCGAAACUGACGCUGAGGAGCGAAAGCGUGGGGAGCAAACAGG